GCCAAAUCCUCACUUUUCUCUCUAACCCUACAUACUGCACGAUUGAUUUCACUCAUUCAGAUCCUCUCUAACCCUUUGAACCGCUCUCUCUCUCUCUCUCAUUCUCUCACAGCAGCGUCGCACUAUCCCCCUCUUACUGUCUCUCACCCUUGCAAGUAGUAGUGCUCCACGAAGCCACCGCGUCUGGAUCUAUCCCUACCGCACCUGAUAAUCACCGCCGACGUCAGCCGCAUCAACACCAGAUCUGAGGAUAUGGAAUCAUAGAUCUGGAGGGGUUGAGAUGAAGUUGGAAGUUUUUGUUUUUUCAAUGCGAUUUGGGAAUUGAGAAGCUUUGUUUAAUUUCUAACUUAAUUUCGAUUCUCAAUUGUAAUAAUCUGCAACUAAUUUCUAUUUGGGUUUGUCAAAUCUUGAUCUGGAGUUGACCUAGUGUUGUUUAUUUCAUUCUGAUAGAUCUAGAAUUUUACUUUA